rnacentral:misc_RNA from 1 species
UCAUCAUUCCUCACAGCUAGCUGAAUGUGCCUUGGAACAAUACGGUUCUUCUUGUUGUCCCUUGCUGCAUUGCCAGCAAGUUCAAGAACCUCAGCAGCAAGGUACUCAAGGACGGCGGAAAGAUAGACAGGAGCGCCGGCACCCACGCGAUCGGCGUACUUUCCAGCUUUGAGAAAACGGGCGAUUCGACCGACGGGGAACUGCAGACCGGCCUUUUGAGAUCUAGACACGGAUUUGGAUGACUUAGGCUUGCCUCUGCCUCCCUUGGUUGACCCUGCGGAACUCAUGGCUGGCUUAA